rnacentral:rRNA from 1 species
GACGUAGGAUGCGAGCGUUGUCCGGAUUUAUUGGGCGUAAAGGGUUCGUAGGUGGUUCAUUAAGUCUGGUGUUAAAGACCGGGGCUCAACCUCGGGAUCGCACUGGAUACUGGUGGACUGGAGUGCAGUAGAGGCAAGCGGAAUUCCAGGUGUAGCGGUGAAAUGCGUAGAUAUCUGGAAGAACACCGGUGGCGCAAGCGGCUUGCUGGGCUGUAACUGACACUGAGGAACGAAAGCUAGGGGAGCAAACAGG